rnacentral:rRNA from 1 species
GACGAACGCUGGCGGCGUGCCUAAUACAUGCAAGUCGAGCGUAGUUUAUUAAUAGCUUGCUAUUAAUAAACCAAGCGGCGGACGGGUGAGUAACGCGUGGGCAAUCUGCCCUCUAGCCUGGGAUAACAGUUCGAAAGGACUGCUAACACCGGAUAUGCUCACAACCCGGCAUCGGGAAGUGAGGAAAGUUUACACUAGAGGAUGAGCCCGCGUCCCAUUAGCUAGUUGGUGAGGUAAUGGCCCACCAAGGCGACGAUGGGUAGCCGACCUGAGAGGGUGAUCGGCCACACUGGGACUGAGACACGGCCCAGACUCCUACGGGUGGCUG